GCAUGUGAGGGAGAUCUGGCUGUGACAUAUGUCACCCCGUUGAUUGCCAGGGUUGAUUUGCUGAUCUGGCCGGCUAGGCUGGUGUCCCCUUCCUCCCUCACGGCUUCAAGUGCGCCUCUCCGAAAGAUGCGCGCUCUGUCUAAGAGGACGACCUUUCCCUAAUAGAGGAGAACCAGUCCUAGGUCAAAGGUGCAUGAGUAGCCACGCUGCCCAGCUGGAACCUCCAAACAAGCUCUCAAGUCUAAGUUGAUAUUACUAAGCGAUUUGAACAAUUUUUGUGUAUGGAGUUUUGAUUCUUUUAUUUCCCUACAAACAAUGGAAAGAUGAGGUCAUCAAUUUACUUU
rnacentral:snRNA from 1 species